AGUGAACGCUGGCGGCGUGCUUAACACAUGCAAGUCGAACGAGAACGGAUUAUAGCUUGCUAUAAUUGUCAGCUAAGUGGCGCACGGGUGAGUAACGUAUAGGUAAUAUGCCUCUUACUAAGGGAUAACAAAUGGAAACGUUUGCUAAUACCUUAUACUCCUUAUUAACAGAAGUUAAUAAGGGAAAGAUUUAUUGGUAAGAGAUUAGCCUGUAUUGUAUCAGUUAGUUGGUGGGGUAAUGGCCUACCAAGACUAUGACACAUAACUGGUUUGAGAGGAUGAUCAGUCACACUGGAACUGAGACACGGUCCAGACUCCUACGGGAGGCAGCAGUGGGGAAUAUUGCACAAUGGACGAAAGUCUGAUGCAGCAACGCCGCGUGGAGGAUGACACAUUUCGGUGUGUAAACUCCUUUUAUAUGAGAAGAUAAUGACGGUAUUAUAUGAAUAAGCACCGGCUAACUCCGUGCCAGCCGCCGCGGUAA
rnacentral:rRNA from 1 species